GCAGAAGUGGCGGAACUGGCAGACGCGCAAGACUAAGGAUCUUGUGUCCGUAAGGAUGUAGGGGUUCGAGUCCCCUCUUCUGCACCA
rnacentral:tRNA from 3 species